rnacentral:rRNA from 1 species
GACGAACGCUGGCGGCGUGCUUAACACAUGCAAGUCGAACGGAAAGGCCCUGCUUUUGUGGGGUGCUCGAGUGGCGAACGGGUGAGUAACACGUGAGUAGCCUGCCCUUGACUUUGGGAUAACUUCAGGAAACUGGGGCUAAUACCGGAUAGGAGCUCCUGCUGCAUGGUGGGGGUUGGAAAGUUUCGGCGGUUGGGGAUGGACUCGCGGCUUAUCAGCUUGUUGGUGGGGUAGUGGCUUACCAAGGGUUUGACGGGUAGCCGGCCUGAGAGGGUGACCGGCCACAUUGGGACUGAGAUACGGCCCAGACUCCUACGGGAGGCAGCAGUGGGGAAUAUUGCACAAUGGGCGGAAGCCUGAUGCAGCAACGCCGCGUGCGGGAUGACGGCCUUCGGGUUGUAAACCGCUUUCGCCUGUGACGAAGCGUGAGUGACGGUAAUGGGUAAAGAAGCACCGGCUAACUACGUG